CGGUUCUUGAACUCAUGAACGUUAAGGAUCUAACCCUAGCACACGUCAAGAGCCAUCUCCAGAUGUAUAGAACAGUGAAGAGCACUGACAGAGAAGGACAAGGAGGGAAUGGUCGAGGUGCUGAAAUGGGGAUGAAUAAUGUUGUUUCUCAGUGGAGUGGAAGAGAGGUGGAAGCAGAAGAAGUGGAGGGAGGAGUACUAUUGCAGGGGCAAUAUGAUCAGA